rnacentral:rRNA from 1 species
AGUGGACGCUGGCGGUAGGCCUAACACAUGCAAGUCGAACGGCAGCACAGUAAGAGCUUGCUCUUACGGGUGGCGAGUGGCGGACGGGUGAGGAAUACAUCGGAAUCUACUAUUUCGUGGGGGAUAACGUAGGGAAACUUACGCUAAUACCGCAUACGACCUACGGGUGAAAGCAGGGGAUCUUCGGACCUUGCGCGAUUGAAUGAGCCGAUGUCGGAUUAGCUAGUUGGCGGGGUAAAGGCCCACCAAGGCGACGAUCCGUAGCUGGUCUGAGAGGAUGAUCAGCCACACUGGAACUGAGACACGGUCCAGACUCCUACGGGAGGCAGCAGUGGGGAAUAUUGGACAAUGGGCGCAAGCCUGAUCCAGCCAUACCGCGUGGGUGAAGAAGGCCUUCGGGUUGUAAAGCCCUUUUGUUGGGAAAGAAAAGCAGCAGGUUAAUACCCCGCUGUUCUGACGGUACCCAAAGAAUAAGCACCGGCUAACUUCGUG